rnacentral:rRNA from 1 species
GGCGCACGGGUUGAGUAACGCGUAAGUAAUCUACCCUGGUAUCUGGGAUAACCAACCGAAAGGUUGGCUAAUACCGGAUACGCUGGUAACAGGAAAGGUGGCCUCUUCAUGAAAGCUACUGUACCAGGAGGAGCUUGCGUACCAUUAGCUAGUUGGUAGGGUAAUGGCCUACCAAGGCGACGAUGGUUAGCGGGUCUGAGAGGAUGAUCCGCCACACUGGAACUGGAACACGGACCAGACUCCUACGGGAGGCAGCAGUGAGGAAUAUUGCGCAAUGGGGGAAACCCUGACGCAGCGACGCCGCGUGGAUGAUGAAGGCCUUCGGGUCGUAAAAUCCUGUCAGAUGGAAAGAAGUGUAUAGAUGUUAAUAGCAUUUAUAUUUGACGGUACCAUCAAAGGAAGCAUCGGCUAACUCCGUGCCAGCAGCCGCGGUAAUACGGAGGGUGCAAGCGUUGUUCGGAAUUACUGGGCGUAAAGCGCGCGUAGCCGGUUUUAUAAGUCAGAUGUGAAAGUCCACGGCUCAACCGUGGAAGUGCAUUUGAAACUGUAUUACUUGAGACUGGAGGGGGUGGUGGAAUUCCCGGUGU